GACGAACGCUGGCGGCGUGCCUAAUACAUGCAAGUAGAACGCACAGUUUAUACCGUAGCUUGCUACACCAUAGACUGUGAGUUGCGAACGGGUGAGUAACGCGUAGGUAACCUGCCUGGUAGCGGGGGAUAACUAUUGGAAACGAUAGCUAAUACCGCAUAAUAUUGAUUAUUGCAUGAUAAUUGAUUGAAAGAUGCUAUUGCAUCACUACCAGAUGGACCUGCGUUGUAUUAGCUAGUAGGUGAGGUAACGGCUCACCUAGGCGACGAUACAUAGCCGACCUGUGAGGGUGAUCGGCCACACUGGGACUGAGACACGGCCCAGACUCCUACGGGAGGCAGCAGUAGGGAAUCUUCGGCAAUGGACGAAAGUCUGACCGAGCAACGCCGCGUGAGUGAAGAAGGUUUUCGGAUCGUAAAGCUCUGUUGUAAGAGAAGAACGGGUGUGAGAGUGGAAAGUUCACACUGUGACGGUAUCUUACCAGAAAGGGACGGCUAACUACGUG
rnacentral:rRNA from 1 species